UUGCAUUGCAACCCGAUCUGUGGGCUGUUUUCUCAGUGCUUACAUUCAUGAUAUUAUGCAUUUAGUAGUUGAACAGAACAUAAUGAUAUCCCCAAAAUAAGUUUCUUUUUGAAGGGUCACCAGCUAGCACAAUAUAGAUAUCCCCAUCUGAAUAACAUUAUUGCAUUGUUGAAUGGUGAUUGGUGAGUGGCUUAAUAGAACUGUUUACAUGCUGUUGGAUAGCUAGGGGGUUCAGAAGAGAUAUAUUUACAUUAGUGGAUAGACUAAUAGAUAAGUUGAAGUGAAAGCUAUGCCUUGGCCACACAAGGUUAUCAAUUUAUUCUACAUAUGUGAAUGAUACUUGGCCCAUUCUAUAAAUCAUGGAUGAUAUGUCAGUGAAAGUAAAGAAAGAUAUGUCAAUCAGUAAAUGUGUGUUUGUUGGUAGCAUAAGAGCAGGUACAAUAAUGGGCUUAUAGCCAAGCAAAUGCUGAUGUGGAGGAGAGAAGAGAGGAGAGAGAUGAUAGCUUGGCUCUUAUGUAAGCACCAAGCUGGGCACGGAUGCAUAGGUAGUAGUGGGCCUAAAUAGCAAGUGCUGUGAGAAGGA
rnacentral:lncRNA from 1 species